CUUCCGGCCAAUGAGGUUGUCGUACCUCAUCAACCGGAAGGAAUCCCUUCCGGCCAAUGAGGUUAUUAUACCUCAUCCACCAGAUAGAUUUUCCGGUUGAUGAGGUAUAACAACCCCAUUGACCGGAAGGAAUUCCUUCCGAUCAAUGAGGUGGAACAGCCUCAUUGACUGGUGU
rnacentral:miRNA from 1 species